CGGCGCUGUGGGUUUGGGGUGUGGGGGUUUCAGUUCCUUUGCCUUCAGCUGCCAGGGAGGAAGAGCUGCUCCCUGUGGAACUGGGAGACCGGCCGCAGUGCUGGCCUCCUGUGAGGACCUCGAGCGAGUGACCCCCCGCUCCCAGUGUCCCCCAGUCUCGUCUGUGUGGACAGCUUGGGCUGAGGACGAUUCUGCCUGCGGCAGCUGGAGGUGCAGGUAGCCAUCGAGCACCUGGACCCUGGCAAGUGCAACCAAGGAACUGAGUUUUAUUUGCUUCACUUAAAUUUAGCCACCUGCGGCCACCGUGCAGGCCAGCAUGGCCCCAAGGUUUCUUCCCC
rnacentral:lncRNA from 1 species